UCACGGAUCUCCGUCGCGAACUUCCCCCAUGGCCGUGGAACCGCUUCACGCUCCCGUCCCCUUCAUGGGAGUCGAGAAGGAGCAGAAGAGGAUCUAUUUGGUCCUUGUCAUCGUUCUCCCUAGAGAUUUUCGAAAGGGAAGGAAGAUGUAGUGGAGGAAGGGUGGCAACAACAACAAUGGGGAUUAUUGCUCUGGUAUAUAUAGAUGAUAUUAUUGUCACAAGCAAUAAUCCUAUGGAAAUCAAGGUAUUCCUCAAGCAUUUAGCAGAUCGAUUCUUCCUUAAAGAUCUA
rnacentral:lncRNA from 1 species